GGGUCAGUAGGUUGGUCGUGCCACCGGUACGUACUGGUCUCACUGAUUCCUCCUUCCUGAAGAACCGUAAUGCCAUUAAUUUGGUGUUGCGGUGAAACAGGACUGUUACUUUGAAAAAAUUAGAGUGUUUAAUGCAAGCUAACGCUUGAAUACAUUAGCAUGGAAUAAUGAAAUAGGACGAUCGAUCCUAUUUUGUUGGUUUCUAGGAUUGACGUA
rnacentral:rRNA from 1 species